CAGUGAAGGACAGGGAAGCCUACUGUGCAGUCCAUGGGAUCUCAAAGAGUCAGACAACAUAGAAACAACAGCAAUGACAAUUCAUCAUCAAGGCCCGGGUGGAGUCGGUCCUUUGCAAACACCCACGUGAGAGACAUUUACUGAGCACCUGCUAUGCCCGUGUCUUUUAAAAGACACCGGAGAUACUGUGGUGAACAGUCAGGUCCCUACCCAGGUCUAAUGAGAAAGGUGACCGAAGAUCCUGCCUGCAGACUCCCUGGGUUCCUGUGUCUGUCAAGAUGAUUAUAUAGAUGGUGUUGUAGAAGACUUUUU
ensembl:lncRNA